AAAAAAAAAAGCUCUAGAUUUUCGUGUCUAACGUUGAUCGUCCGUCUUAUCUUAAAAAAAUAAAAAAAUUAAAAAGACAAGUCAUAAAGUAUUAAUCAUGUUUUAUCAUCUAACAACAAUGAAAAUACUAAUUAUAAAAAAAAUUCAUAUAAGACGGACAGUUAGACGUUGGACACGGAAACCCAAUGUUUGUCUUCUU
rfam:Oryza rufipogon genomic scaffold, chr10